rnacentral:rRNA from 1 species
AGCUCUGUAAGCGUAUACCAAAGUUGUUGCAGUUAAAACGCUCGUAGUCGGAAAUUGGUGAUUUCGGGUGUUUGCGCGUGAAGUGCGAACAUUGUCGGGAAUUGCUUUUGUGGGAUUGUGCGGGAUGAAGCACUUUUAUUAGUGAACGUCCAUCGUGCGACCACUGUUUACUGUGAGAAAAACAGGGUGCUCAAAGCAGGCAUUUGCCGUGAAUGGAUUAGCAUGGAAUAAUAGAAUAGGACUCGGUUCUAUUUUGUUGGUUUGUUGGGACAGAGUAAUGAUUAAGAGGGACAGUUGGGGGCAUUUGUAUUUCGGCGCUAGAGGUGAAAUUCUUAGAUUGCCGAAAGACAAACAGCUGCGAAAGCGUCUGCCAAGGAUGUUUUCA